UGCCCUAUGAGGGUUAAAUGGCCGCGGUAUUUUGACCGUGCAAAGGUAGCAUAAUAAUUAGUUUUUUAAUUGAAAGCUGGAAUGAAUGAUUGGACGAGAAAAUUACUGUCUCAGUUUAGAUUAUUUAGAAUUUUAUUUUUAAGUAAGAAAGCUUAAAUUUUAUUAAUAGACGAGAAGACCCUAUAGAGUUUUAUAUUAAUUUAUUUAUUUAUUUUGAAGAAUUUUUUUAUUUAUAUUUAAAUUAUUAUUUUAUUGGGGUGAUAGAAAAAUUAAUAAAACUUUUUUUUUUUUUUUUACAUUGAUUUAUGUUUAAUUGAUCCAUUAUUUAUGAUUAUAAGAUUAAAUUACCUUAGGGAUAACAGCGUAAUUUUUUUUUAGAGUUCUUAUCGAAAGAAAAGAUUGCGACCUCGAUGUUGGAUUAAACAUAAAUUAA
rnacentral:rRNA from 1 species